AGCGAACGCUGGCGGCAGGCCUAACACAUGCAAGUCGAACGAACCCUUCGGGGUUAGUGGCGGAUGGGUGAGUAACACGUGGGAACGUGCCUUUAGGUUCGGAAUAGCUCCUGGAAACGGGUGGUAAUGCCGAAUGUGCCCUUCGGGGGAAAGAUUUAUCGCCUUUAGAGCGGCCCGCGUCUGAUUAGCUAGUUGGUGAGGUAAUGGCUCACCAAGGCUACGAUCAGUAGCUGGUCUGAGAGGAUGACCAGCCACAUUGGGACUGAGACACGGCCCAAACUCCUACGGGAGGCAGCAGUGGGGAAUCUUGCGCAAUGGGCGAAAGCCUGACGCAGCCAUGCCGCGUGGAUGAUGAAGGUCUUAGGAUUGUAAAAUCCUUUCACCGGUGAAGAUAAUGACUGUAGCCGGAGAAGAAGCCCCGGCUAACUUCGUGCCAGCCGCCGCUGUAAUAC
rnacentral:rRNA from 1 species